rfam:Salmo salar isolate Sally breed double haploid chromosome ssa04, whole genome shotgun sequence.
GCUGUGUCUUUCUGGGUAAGUCGCUCUGGAUAAGAGCGUCUGCUAAAUGACUUAAA